rnacentral:misc_RNA from 1 species
UACGGGGGGCAGCAGUGGGAAUUUUGGACAAUGGGGAAACCCUGAUCCAGCCAUCCCGCGUGUGCGAUGAAGGCCUUCCAGGUUUAUCGGCUUUUGGCAGGAAAGAAACGGCACGGGAUAAUAUUGUGACAAUACGGAAUAAGCACCGGCUAACUACGUGCCAGCAGCCGCGGUAAUACGUAGGGUGCAAGCGUUAAUCGGAAUUACUGGGCGUAAAGCGUGCGCAGGCGGUUCGGAAGAAAGAUGUGAAAUCCAGAAGCUUAACUUUGGAACUGCAUUUUUAACUACCGAGCUAGAGUGUGUCAGAGAGGUGGAAUUCCGCGUGUAGCAGUGAAAUGCGUAGAUAUGCGGAGGAACACCGAUGGCGAAGGCAGCCUCCUGGGAUAACACUGACGCUCAUGCACGAAAGCGUGGGGAGCAAACAGGAUUAGAUACCCCGGUAGU